GACGAACCGUGCGAACGUUGUUCGGAUUCAUUGGGCGUAAAGGGUGCGUAGGUGGCGGGGUAAGUCAGGUGUGAAAUCUCGGGGCUCAACCCCGAAACUGCACUUGAUACUGCCUUGCUCGAGUACUGGAGAGGAGAUUGGAAUUUACGGUGUAGCAGUGAAAUGCGUAGAUAUCGUAAGGAAGACCAGUGGCGAAGGCGAAUCUCUGGACAGUUACUGACACUGAGGCACGAAGGCCAGGGGAGCAAACGGG
rnacentral:rRNA from 1 species